UUAAACUAAUGACAUCAUCUCACGGACACCACGCUUUCCAUUUAGUAGAUAUAAGACCAUGACCACUUACAGGUUCAAUUAGAGCUAUAAUAUUAACCACAGGACUAGUUAAAUGAUUUCAUCAAUUUAACCCUGACCUUUUAUUCUUAGGAAUUAUUGCAACAACUCUUACUAUAAUUCAAUGAUGACGAGAUAUUACACGAGAAGGUACUUACCAAGGAUUACAUACUAAAGCAGUUACUAUCGGCCUUCGAUGGGGUAUAAUCUUGUUUAUUACUUCAGAAGUAUUAUUUUUUUUCUCUUUCUUUUGAGCUUUUUUCCACAGAAGAUUAUCUCCUAACGUAGAAGUAGGUAGUUGUUGACCUCCUGCAGGAAUUCAAACCUUUAACCCUUUUCAAAUUCCUCUCCUUAAUACAGCAAUCCUUCUUGCUUCAGGUGCUACUGUAACUUGAGCCCACCAUGCAAUCAUAGAAUCUAACCACACACAAGCUAUUCAAAGAUUAGCUAUCACAGUAUUAUUAGGUAUAUAUUUCACAGCUUUACAAGCAUUAGAGUAUUAUGAAGCUCCGUUUACAAUUGCAGAUUCAGUAUAUGGUUCAACAUUCUUCGUAGCUACAGGAUUUCACGGUCUACAUGUUAUUAUUGGUAGUACAUUCCUCUCAGUAUGCUUAUAUCGUUUAUACAAAUGUCAUUUUUCAGCCAUACAUCACUUUGGAUUUGAAGCUGCCGCUUGAUAUUGACAUUUUGUAGAUGUUGUAUGAUUAUUCCUCUAUAUUUCUAUUUAUUGAUGAGGAGGCU